CAGUCGCCACGGGAAUACAGAGGGUGCAAGCGUUAAUCGGAAUUACUGGGCGUAAAGCGCGCGUAGGUGGUUUGCCAAGUUGGAUGUGAAAUCCCCGGGCUCAACCUGGGAACUGCAUCCAAAACUGGCGAGCUAGAGUAUGGUAGAGGGUGGUGGAAUUUCCUGUGUAGCGGUGAAAUGCGUAGAUAUAGGAAGGAACAUCAGUGGCGAAGGCGACCACCUGGACUGAUACUGACACUGAGGUGCGAAAGCGUGGGGAGCAAACAGGAUUAGAUACCCGCGUAGUCCCUGUCUCUUAUAC
rnacentral:rRNA from 1 species